AUGAACGCUGGCGGCGUGCCUAAUACAUGCAAGUCGAGCGAACAGAUGAGGAGCUUGCUCCUCUGACGUUAGCGGCGGACGGGGGAGUAACACGUGGAUAACCUACCUAUAAGACUGGGAUAACUUCGGGAAACCGGAGCUAAUACCGGAUAAUAUAUUGAACCGCAUGGUUCAAUAGUGAAAGACGGUUUUGCUGUCACUUAUAGAUGGAUCCGCGCCGCAUUAGCUAGUUGGUAAGGUAACGGCUUACCAAGGCGACGAUGCGUAGCCGACCUGAGAGGGUGAUCGGCCACACUGGAACUGAGACACGGUCCAGACUCCUACGGGAGGCAGCAGUAGGGAAUCUUCCGCAAUGGGCGAAAGCCUGACGGAGCAACGCCGCGUGAGUGAUGAAGGUCUUCGGAUCGUAAAACUCUGUUAUUAGGGAAGAACAAAUGUGUAAGUAACUAUGCACGUCUUGACGGUACCUAAUCAGAAAGCCACGGCUAACUACGU
rnacentral:rRNA from 1 species